GGUCGCUUCUCGCAGGCGGCGCGCUUGCUGGGUCACAGUGAGGCGGCUCCGCGCAGGCGCAGCCGGGCGGGCGAGGAGCGGGGAAGCUGACUCAGGGCUGCGGCCGGGGUCCUGCGGGGUAGGAGCGCGAGGCCGGCCUGAGGGAGGAGGCCUAGCGACCCAUCCGGCGCCUCCCGCCCCGGGCACCCGCCCGCGGCCGCGCAUCCUGCGGGCCCCAGGAGGCCUCCAUCUCAAAACAACGUGUUUUUAGUUGCUUCAGGCCAUCUGGAUGUAUACAUGCAGGUCACUGGGGAUAUGAUGGCUUAGCUUGGGCUCAGAGGCCUGACAGGAGUUCAAGACCAGCCUGGUGAACAUGACGAAACCCUGUCUCUACAAAAAUAAGAAAUGAACGCAGCAUGGUGGCAUGCACCUGCAGUCCCAGCCUCUUGGGAGGUGGAGGCAUAAGUCAGCUGUGAAUGCGCCCUGCACUAGAGCCUGGGCAGCAGAGCAGACCCUUCCUCAAACCCAAAAAGCGUCGUGCCAACCAGACCAGAUGGUCGCCUAAUCAAUAGAGACCAUGCCCAAUCAGGCACAUGACAGCCUUCUUGCAAUCAAGAAACUACGUGUGGCCAGGAUCUCAUCCACUAUCACAGUUUCAGCUUUCCCCAAACUGGAAUGUGUCUUUGCAGACGCCCAUCCUUAUUAAAGGGCAAAGACUUCUCAUACACCUAGGAUGGAUCUUAUAUUCUUGGCGGGACUGCAGAGAAGGUGCCGUGUCCUGAGUCCUCAUGUCAGGGCACAGGCUUCCAGCCAGUUCUACCUGGGUUAUGUUUAUCUCAAUUCCCUGGUGGUAUUGGUGUCUGCUGGGUUUUGCCAGAAUGAAGACACCGUGUUUUCAUUUGUCAGUUGAUUCGUAUUUUCCAGGAAGACAUUCUGAGAUUACAGCAUUGUCUUAGUCAAGGUGCUGCAGAAGGACAGAACUAAUAGGAUAUAUGUACAUAUGAAAGAAAGUUUAUGAAGAACUGGCUCACACCAUCACAAGGCAAAGUCCCAUGACAGGCCAUCUGCAAGCUGAGGAGCGAGGAAGCCAGCAGUGGCUCAGCCGGAGUCCAACAGCCUCAAACGGAAUCCAACAGUUCAGGCUUCAGUCUGUGGCCAAAUGCCCAGAGACCCCGGAAAGCUACUGGUGUUAGUCCCAGAGCCGGAAGGCCAAAGAACCUGGAGUGUGAUGUCCAAGGGCAGGAGGAAUGGACAGAAGCAUCCAGCAUGGGGUAAAGACGAAAGCCAGAAGACUCAGCAAGCUAGCUUACCUACUUUCUUCUGCCUGCCUUGUUCUAGCCGCGCUGGCAGCCGGUUGGAGGGUGCCCACCCCCACUGAGGGUGGAUCUUCCUCUCCUAGUCCACUGACUCAAAUUUCAGUCUCUCUGGGAGCACCAUCACACCAGAAACAAUACCAGCCAUCUAGCCACCCUUCAGUUCACCAUCACAACCAUUGUCUUAUUCAUGAAACUUCUGCAGACCCACCUUAACCUCCAUCGGUGACUUCUACCUGAAGCCCUCUGAUUGUUGCCCAGUGGUGCUUUUUAAAAUAAUUUCCAUAGUUUCUUCUACACCUUUAGUUGGCAUUCUACUGUAAAGGAGAGAUUUUAUUUUCUUACUCAUUUAUUUGUUAGUUUAUAGUCACCACCAUAUGGAUGCAGAGUUCUGUCUCAUUCACUGGGAAGUAUUCUAUUGCAGUCAUGAUUUAUUUUGAUGUUCACAUCCCAGAGUUGGUGAGUGAGCGCCCCUUCACGCUGGCUCCCGAGUGCUGACGUGUCCCCGUCCUUCUCUGCACUUUUCCUUACCUCCUGGCCUCAGAUAUUCCAGGGUCAUUUGUUCUCUCCCUGCUCCAACCCUGCAGUCAGCCAUCUCCCUAGGGACGUUGGUUCCUUUAUGGAAGGUGGCAUUUAGAAGCCAGGAUUUGGGCUGAGCACUGUGGCUCAUGCUUGUAAUCCCAGCACUUGGGGAGGCCGAAGUGGGCGGAUCGCUGGAGGCCAAGAGUCUGAGACCAGCCUGGCUAACAUGGUGAAACCCUUCCCCGUCUCUACUACAAAUAAAAAAUUAGCUGGGUGUGUUGGCACGUGCCUGUAAUCCCAGUUACUCAGGAGGCUGAAGCACCAGAAUCUCUUGAACCCAGGAGGCCGAGGUUGCAGUGAGCCAAGAUUGCACCACUGCACUACAGCUUGGGUGACAGCGCGAGACACCGUCUCAAAAAGGAUAAUAAUUUAAAAAACAGCAGGAUUUGGGUGAGCAGUGCGCUCAUUGCUUCUGGGCUCUCUCGGUGGACAUAGGCUAGGAAUGUAAGAUGUAUGUGCCUGUGUAUAUACACACGUCUGUAGCUAUGUCUAUGUUGCAUACAUGUGUUUUUCCAAAAACCAAAUCCAUAACCAUG
rnacentral:lncRNA from 10 species